rnacentral:misc_RNA from 1 species
GUGCGUAUGUAAUCGGUUAAUUUAUCUUUUCUCCAUUAAUGUGAAAAAAAUUGUCCUUUUCUUUGAUUGUCUGGUUGAUUAGGAUAGAAAUGCUACUUAUGUUCAUACUUGGAAUUGAUCGUCCAUAUUUUCUUAUGGGUCUCUGCGGAACGCCUACAUUCUGCUUUGAAGCUUACCUUUUUUAUCUUUCGUGUGAUUUUCGACCUGGUAAUGCUCGAAUUCUUUGGUUCAUGUUGGUUUUUAGUUUGAACACAACUCAUGCUUGCCUUCCUGUUUGUGUCAAAACGAUUGAGUUAUGCUGUAGUUAAGAGAACGACUAUCGAGUUUGAUAUUCGAUAGGGUGUCUCUGUUUUCCCAAUUUCAAGUUUCAACACCAGUAUCAUAAACUACUCCGUGCUGACAUAAAUUUUCAAUUUUAAGAGGCUAAGAUUUUCAUGGGAAUGUAAGAAUUAGUUUGGAUCGUCUCAUAUAUUCCUCAUGACUGGUUGGGGAAAAUUGGUGUAAACAGAAGAAUUCAUACUCAGAUAUGUUACAUAUUACUAGAGAAACUUAGAAACAGCUUGGGCUUCAUUUCUGAACUCCCUUGAUAUCUUUAUAAGUUAUAGGCUAGGUGGUAUGAGCUUUUUUUUUAACUUUUGGCCUUAUUUCUUGCUUUAGCUUUGACAAGCAAAUAAUGGAAUAUAGCUUAAUCACCUAUCACAUCAUGGUUAAAGUUUGAUCUCAUGCCACAGCAAUUUUUCUCUAAACCGAUCUGAAUGGAGAAAAAAUGAUCUAUCUAGCUGGAGAAUUAGGUAGAUUUUACUAAUACAUAGUCAUGUUGAAUUGAAUUGAAUUGAAUUGUAAAUCAUUUGCAACCCUUGCUUCAAAUUUCAUAUAAUGGAGAAGUAUCUGCAAAAGAUUGGUAAAUGCCUCAUGCAUUUUCACAAUAAAGCUCUAAAUUAAUUUCAUGCUUGUGUAUUAUUAUGGUGCUUUUUGGAAAUUGCUAUAGGAAUUUAUGAGAGUUCUUAAUCAUGUUGCUGCUCAACACAUUCUGAUGAUAAAAUUCAAUGCCACUAUUUUACUUAUUGAGGGUCAGCUAAUGUAAAAUGAACAUAUAGAUGAAAUUUCCCCUUUUCUGCUGUCUUCUUCUUGUAGUUCACUCUGUGCUGCCAUCAACCUAAUAGAGAUAAUAGACUUCUGUUGUAAAAUUUACUUCUUCAACUUUUGACCUGACACAAGCUUGAUUGACUAAUUGAUCCUGUCUUUAUUGCCAUCAUCAUAACCAUAACCAAUUGUUUGAGUGGGCACUUCUAUUACCAUACAUCAUCCUGCUGAACUUCUUCUGUGGCACUCCUUUUCUCUUUCCCCUGCCAUUUUCUUUCUCUCUUUUGGUGACUAUCUUUAUUCUAUCUGGUUUAGUUUAUAGGCUUAAAAGAAAAUAUGAAAAUCUUUACCCCUUGUUUGGAUUUUG